GAUGAACGCUGGCGGCGUGCCUAAUACAUGCAAGUCGAGCGAACGGACGAGAAGCUUGCUUCUCUGAUGUUAGCGGCGGACGGGUGAGUAACACGUGGAUAACCUACCUAUAAGACUGGGAUAACUUCGGGAAACCGGAGCUAAUACCGGAUAAUAUUUUGAACCGCAUGGUUCAAAAGUGAAAGACGGUCUUGCUGUCACUUAUAGAUGGAUCCGCGCUGCAUUAGCUAGUUGGUAGGGUAACGGCUUACCAAGGCAACGAUGCAUAGCCGACCUGAGAGGUUGAUCGGCCACACUGGAACUGAGACACGGUCCAGACUCCUACGGGAGGCAGCAGUAGGGAAUCUUCCGCAAUGGGCGAAAGCCUGACGGAGCAACGCCGCGUGAGUGAUGAAGGUCUUCGGAUCGUAAAACUCUGUUAUUAGGGAAGAACAUAUGUGUAAGUAACUGUGCACAUCUUGACGGUACCUAAUCAGAAAGCCACGGCUAACUACGUG
rnacentral:rRNA from 1 species